rnacentral:rRNA from 1 species
CCCGCACAAGCGGUGGAUGAUGUGGUUUAAUUCGAUGCAACGCGAAAAACCUUACCUACCCUUGACAUGGCAAGAAUCCUGGAGAGAUCUGGGAGUGCUCGAAAGAGAGCUUGCACACAGGUGCUGCAUGGCCGUCUUCAGCUCGUGUCGUGAGAUGUUGGGUUAAGUCCCGCAACGAGCGCAACCCUUGUCAUCAGUUGCUACGAAAGGGCACUCUGAUGAGACUGCCGGUGACAAACCGGAGGAAGGUGGGGAUGACGUCAGGUCCUCAUGGCCCUUAUGGGUAGGGCUACACACGUCAUACAAUGGCCGGUACAGAGGGCUGCCAACCCGCGAGGGGGAGCCAAUCCCAGAAAACCGGUCGUAGUCCGGAUCGUAGUCUGCAACUCGACUGCGUGAAGUCGGAAUCGCUAGUAAUCGCGGAUCAGCUUGCCGCGGUGAA